rnacentral:rRNA from 1 species
UACAGAGGGUGCAAGCGUUGUUCGGAAUUAUUGGGCGUAAAGGGAGUGUAGGCGGUCCAUUAAGUCUUCUGUGAAAUCUACGGGCUUAGCCUGUAACGUGCAGAGGAAACUGGUGGACUUGAGUGUCGGAGAGGAUAGGGGAAUACCCGGUGUAGAGGUGAAAUUCGUAGAGAUCGGGUGGAACACCAGUGGCGAAGGCGCCUGUCUGGCUGACAACUGACGCUGAGACUCGAAAGCAUGGGGAGCAAACAGG